UACGGAGGGGGCUAGUGUUGUUCGGAAUUACUGGGCGUAAAGCGCGUGUAGGCGGCUUUGCAAGUCGGGUGUGAAAGCCCUCAGCUCAACUGAGGAAGUGCGCCCGAAACUGCAGAGCUUGAGUGCCGGAGAGGGUGGCGGAAUUCCCCAAGUAGAGGUGAAAUUCGUAGAUAUGGAGAGGAACACCGGUGGCGAAGGCGGCCACCUGGACGGCAACUGACGCUGAGAACGCGAAAGCGUGGGGAGCAAACAGG
rnacentral:rRNA from 1 species